rnacentral:rRNA from 1 species
UACAGAGGGUGCAAGCGUUGUUCGGAAUUAUUGGGCGUAAAGAGCUCGUAGGCGGUCUGUCGCGUCGGAAUGUGUAAAACCCAGGGCUACCAACCGUGGGCCUGCCAUUCGAUACGGGCAGACUAGAGGUGGUGGCAGGGGAGAACUUGGAAUUCCGUGGUGUAGCGGUGAAAAUGCGCAGAUAUCAGGAGGAACGACCGGCUGGCGAAGGCGGGUCUCUGGGCCAAUACUGACGCUGAGGAGCGAAAGCGGUGGGAGCGAACAGG